rnacentral:rRNA from 1 species
CCCUUAGAUGUUCUGGGCCGCACGCGCGCUACACUGACGAAUGCAACGAGCUUAUAACCUUGGCCGAAAGGUCUGGGUAAUCUCCAAAUUUCGUCGUGAUGGGGAUAGAUUAUUGCAAUUAUUAAUCUUCAACGAGGAAUGCCUAGUAAGCGAAAGUCAUCAGCUUGCGUUGAUUACGUCCCUGCCCUUUGUACACACCGCCCGUCGCUCCUACCGAUUGAAUGGUCCGGUGAAGCGUUCGGACCGUGGCCUUUGGACGGUUCGCCGUCUGUUGGCUGCGGGAAGUUCGUUAAACCUUAUCAUUUAGAGGAAGGAGAAGUCGUANCA